AUUGAACGCUGGCGGCAGGCCUAACACAUGCAAGUCGAGCGGAUGAAGGGAGCUUGCUCCUGGAUUCAGCGGCGGACGGGUGAGUAAUGCCUAGGAAUCUGCCUGGUAGUGGGGGAUAACGUCCGGAAACGGGCGCUAAUACCGCAUACGUCCUGAGGGAGAAAGUGGGGGAUCUUCGGACCUCACGCUAUCAGAUGAGCCUAGGUCGGAUUAGCUAGUUGGUGGGGUAAAGGCCUACCAAGGCGACGAUCCGUAACUGGUCUGAGAGGAUGAUCAGUCACACUGGAACUGAGACACGGUCCAGACUCCUGCGGGAGGCAGCAGUGGGGAAUAUUGGACAAUGGGCGAAAGCCCGAUCCAGCCAUGCCGCGUGUGUGAAGAAGGUCUUCGGAUUGUAAAGCACUUUAAGUUGGGAGGGAGGGCAGUAAGUUAAUACCUUGCUGUUUUGACGUUACCAACAGAAUAAGCACCGGCUAACUUCGUG
rnacentral:rRNA from 1 species